rnacentral:misc_RNA from 1 species
AACCAUUCUCACCUGCGGCUAGACCUGCGGAAGGAUCAUUACCGAGUUUACAACUCCCAAACCCCUGUGAACAUACCUAUACGUUGCCUCGGCGGAUCAGCCCGCGCCCUGUAAAAAGGGACGGCCCGCCCGAGGACCCUAAACUCUGUUUUUAGUGGAACUUCUGAGUAAAACAAACAAAUAAAUCAAAACUUUCAACAACGGAUCU